GAGCGGAUGUCUGAGCGGUUAAAAGAGUCGGUCUUGAAAACCGAAGUAUUUUUAAAAAUACCGGGGGUUCGAAUCCCUCUCCAUCCC
rnacentral:tRNA from 1 species